rnacentral:rRNA from 1 species
AGUGAACGCUGGCGGUAGGCCUAACACAUGCAAGUCGAACGGCAGCACAGUAAGAGCUUGCUCUUACGGGUGGCGAGUGGCGGACGGGUGAGGAAUACAUCGGAAUCUACUUUUUCGUGGGGGAUAACGUAGGGAAACUUACGCUAAUACCGCAUACGACCUACGGGUGAAAGCAGGGGAUCUUCGGACCUUGCGCGAUUGAAUGAGCCGAUGUCGGAUUAGCUAGUUGGCGGGGUAAAGGCCCACCAAGGCGACGAUCCGUAGCUGGUCUGAGAGGAUGAUCAGCCGCCUGGGAACUGAGACACGGUCAAGACGCCUACGGGAGGCAGCAGUGGGGAAUAUUGGACAAUGGGCGGAAGCCUGAUCCAGCGAUACCGAGUGGGUGAAGAAGGCGUCCGGUUUGGAAAGCCCUUUUGUGGGGAAAGAACCGCAGCAGGUUAAGACCCCGCUGUUGUGACGGUACCCAAAGAAUAAGCACCGGCUAACUUCGUG